UCCGCGUAAAAGCGGAAGCGGAAGAGCUCGAGAACAAAGUGCGCACCAGAGAAGCAGAGCGGCGCCGAGUGAUCGAUAUCGAUCAGUGACACCGAUCAGAAACCCGUCUGAUCAGAGAGAGCGAAGAUGAACCGCGCAGGCGCAGAAUUGAGGAUUAUCUUCAGCCCGGGCCGCGUGCAGCUGGUUCAGGAGGAGGCUGUGGUCCCGGCUCCUACAGUCCUAGUUACCGGGGCAACUGGUCUUCUGGGUCGAGCUGUCUGCAGUGAGUUUCAGAGCAGCGGCUGGUUGGUUAUCGGGACUGGAUACAGAAGAGCCAGACCCCGCCUCCUCCGCUGUGACCUCACAGAUGAGGACGCUGUCAGAGGACUACUGCAAGAGUACAAGCCUGAUGUGAUUGUCCACUGUGCAGCCGAGAGACGUCCAGAUGUUGUGGAGAGACACACUGAAGCUGCUGUAAAUCUCAAUGUGCAUGCCACGAGCACGCUCGCGAAGGAGGCAGCUGUCUGCGGAGCGUUCUUCCUCUACAUCAGCACCGACUAUGUGUUCGAUGGCAGGAAUCCUCCGUACGGAGAAGACGACAGUCCCAAUCCUCUGAACGUUUAUGGACGCAGCAAACUGGAGGGAGAGAGAGAGACACUGAGACACUGUCCAGGUGCAGUGGUGCUGCGGGUGCCGGUUCUGUUCGGGGAGGUGGAGUCGGUGUCAGAGAGCGCCGUGACAUCGCUGUGGCUGAAAGUCCAGGAGGCGUCAGAGAGCUGCACCCUGGAUCACUGCCAGCAGAGGUUCCCCACCGACACCCGGGACGUCGCUGCUGUCUGCAGGAAGCUGUCCGAGAGAAGGAGACAGGACCCGUCUAUCAGAGGAAUCUUUCAUUUCUCAGGUAAAGAGCAGAUGACUAAAUAUGAGAUGGCCGUCGCGAUCGCUCAGGCCUUCAACCUGCCGUCCAGCCACCUCAUCCCUCUGACGGAGCAGCCAGCGGCGUCGACUCUUCGUCCGAUCAACAGCCAGUUAAACUGUUCCCGCCUGGAGCUGCUGAACCUGAGCGUGGAGCCGCGACCUUUCACCUCCGCCAUCAUCGACUGUCUGUGGCCGUUCACACCGGACAAACGCUGGAGACAGACAGUCUUCCACUGACAGACGGGUGGAGGGAGACAGACUGACGAGUGGAGGGAGACGGGUGGAGACAGACAGACUGAUGAGUGGAGGGAGACAGACAGACAGAAAAACAGACGGGUGGAGACAGACAGAGGGGUGGAGACAGGUGGAGACAGACACAGACAAAUAGGUGGAGACAGACAAACGGAUGAAGACACACAGACAGACAGGUGGAGACAUAUACAGACAAAUAGGUGGAGACAGACAAACGGAUGAAGACAGACAGACAGACAGACAGGUGGAGACAGACACAGACAAAUAGGUGGAGACAGACAGACAGAUGAGAAAACAUCUACCCAUCUUUGGCUGUCACAUUUCAGGCUCCUCCCCCUACAGUCUGAUGACAUCAUAAGUAGGCGUGAACCAAUCCAGAUGCUGCGCUGAUAAACGAGUCUUUACCUGAAGACACACCCGUCAGGUGUUGGGUGAUGCGUUCAGGUGCACUCACUGAUGUCAGCAGGUGUCUCCUGAAGUGGACCAAUGAUUGACAGAUGUGUUAGGCCACGUCCAACUGUGUGGGUGGAGCCUGAGGUGAGACAUGUCACGUGACAGAGAGAGAGAGAGAGAGACAGGUACUACUGAGACAGACAGGUGACGAACGCUGAUAUGUUUCCAAUAUAUUUCCAAUAUGUGUUGUGUUGUAAGCCCUCAGUUCUGCCUGCAGGUUCAAGUUAGCACCAGAUCUGUGUUGGAAACCGGAGUGACUCCAGUUUGUAAUGGUGUGAGACCAACUCCAUAUAAAUGAUGCUGUUUACACUGUGUCCUCCUGACGUCCAGGUAAACGGUUUCACGUGUUUUGUUUUACUUUAAUAUAUUUUAGUUUAGUUUAAAAUAAAACAGUUUAUUUUUCAAAACAAAGUCCGUCAUUAGAGUCCAAAGACUUUAAAUGGACACUUUAAAAAAAGGGGUUCAGUGAAGAAAACACAAGAGUUGACAGGACUUGAGAUCUAUGUUGUCCUGCAGAGGACAAACUGCUGGUUUCAAUGUAAAGUUUGGGUCCAGACGUGGUUCUGCGGUGUGCUGUUGUAAACGAGUCCUUCACAUUAAACACUACUGAGAUACUC